UACGAAGGGGGCUCGCGUUGUUCGGAAUUACUGGGCGUAAAGCGCGCGCAGGCGGUCCUUCAAGUCAGGGGUGAAAGCCCAGGGCUCAACCCUGGAAUGGCCUUUGAGACUAGAGGACUUGGGUACGGGAGAGGUGAGUGGAAUUCCGAGUGUAGAGGUGAAAUUCGUAGAUAUUCGGAAGAACACCAGUGGCGAAGGCGGCUCACUGGCCCGUUACCGACGCUCAGGCGCGACAGCGUGGGGAGCAAACAGG
rnacentral:rRNA from 1 species